ACGGGGCGCACAGGCGGAAAACUUUACAAUGCUGGCAACACGAUAAGGGAACCUCGAGUGCUAGGUUACAAAUCUGGCUGUCGAGAUGCCUAAAAAGCAUUUCAUAGCAAGGGCCGGGCAAGACCGGUGCCAGCCGCCGCGGUAACACCGGCGGCUCGAGUGGUAACCGUUAUUAUUGGGUCUAAAGGGUCUGUAGCCGGCCGGAUAAGUCUCUUGAGAAAUCUGGCAGCUUAACUGUCAGGCUUUCAGGAGAUACUGUCUGGCUCGAGGCCGGGAGAGGUGAGAGGUACUUCAGGGGUAGGGGUGAAAUCUUGUAAUCCUUGAAGGACCACCAGUGGCGAAGGCGUCUCACCAGAACGGACCUGACGGCAAGGGACGAAAGCUAGGGGCACGAACCGGAUUAGAUACCCGGGUAGUCCUAGCCGUAAACGAUACUCGCUAGGUGUCGGCCACGGUGCGACCGUUGUCGGUGCCGUAGGGAAGCCGUGAAGCGAGCCACCUGGGAAGUACGGCCGCAAGGCUGAAACUUAAAGGAAUUGGCGGGGGAGCACCACAACGGGUGGAGCUUGCGGUUUAAUUGGAUUCAACGCCGGAAAUCUUACCGGGACCGACAGCAAUAUGAAGGCCAGGCUGAAGACUUUGCCGGAUUAGCUGAGAGGUGGUGCAUGGCCGUCGUCAGUUCGUACUGUGAAGCAUCCUGUUAAGUCAGGCAACGAGCGAGACCCACGCCCACAGUUGCCAGCGUACUCUCCGGAGUGACGGGUACACUGUGGGGACCGCCGCUGCUAAAGCGGAGGAAGGAAUGGGCAACGAUAGGUCAGUAUGCCCCGAAUAUCCCGGGCUACACGCGAGCUACAAUGGUUGGUACAAUGGGUAUCUACCCCGAAAGGGGACGGAAAUCUCCUAAAACCAAUCUUAGUUCGGAUUGAGGGCUGCAACUCGCCCUCAUGAAGCUGGAAUCCGUAGUAAUCGCGUUUCAACAGAACGCGGUGAAUACGUCCCUGCUCCUUGUACACACCGCCCGUCA
rnacentral:rRNA from 1 species